rnacentral:lncRNA from 1 species
AGGGCCACACCCGUGGCAUAUGGAGGUUCCCAGGCUAGGGGUCCAAUUGGAGCUGUUGCUGCUGCUGGCCUAUGCCACAGCCACGUGCAACGCCAGAUCCGAGCCGCAUCUGCAACCUACACCACAGCUCACGGCAACGCCAGAUCCUUAACCCACUGAAAGGAGCUACACUGUUUGGUAAUGUUUCACUUGGGACAUACCAGUUUAUGAUAAGAUGAAAACUAAGUUCUAUAAAAAACACACACACAUAAAUCAGACCUUUGAAUUUCAUCUAAUACAAAGUUCUCUCACUUUAUGUACAUAAAAAUAUUACUGAGUAUCUCAAUUUGGUUUGUUGCUGGCUGAGCUCAAUGGGAAACAACCACAGUUAUAUUGUCUCUGUUUUCCCCUUUCGGAUUCCAACUGGUUUCAAUUUUAUCUUUCAGCAGUAAUUUUCUUUAGCUCAGAAACCACAUCAGUGUAUUUGGUUCAAGGUAAAAAUUUUGAGAAGAGUCGGAGGAGUACCUAAACUUUUUGUUUCUUUCCUUUUUCAAGGUCAAGUUUAGUUUGUUGGUAUCUAUUUGAAAUCAGUAAGCAAUAUGUGAGACUAUUUGGGAAAUGUUGCAAAGAUAUACCAAGAACAAAAUUUGAAUAAGCUUAGAGUUAUCCUAUUUUUUAAGACAGACUCAUAACCCUCUUCCUUCCCCAUCUAUCACACAGUAAUACUACCAAUAAUGUUGAAUGCGUGACACCACUUCCUUGUCCUUCCCUACACUCUGAUUCAUUUAAAAUCUAGAUUUGAACACACCCAUAACUAUAGUCAAAAUGUCAAGGUCUCUAUAAUUAGGGCCCCAGGAUCUGGAUCUCUCCAAAACUCCCCAGGCAAUCCUGGAUAUUAGAAAGGUUUGGAACGACUGCUCUGUGGCCUAUAAUGCAGCAUUCUGUAACAGCUCAAUUGAAAAUUACAAUUAUCAUCAACAGUAACCCAUAGAAGUCCUGUUUCUACUUUCUCUCACAGCUCAAAAUCUAACACUGAAGGCAAUGCUCGGUCAAGAGCUGGAAACACACUAAUAACAAGUGAUGAGAUUUUUAAAGAAAGCAGAUGGUCCUCAUGGCAUACUCUUUAUUUUUAAAUCAGAUAUCAACUAGAUAUAUUCCUUGACGGAAAGGAUCUUGCUCUAUAUUUCUAUAAUCUAUCACUCUGCUAAGUAUAUAGAAAUUUUAAGAGUAAAUAAGAAUGCAUUUUGUAUAUUAAUUAAAAACAUGUAUGUACAUAAUACAUUAACACGUGAUACUAAAAUAUUAGACACCAGUGCCUAUCUCCCCUUUUAUAGAUGUAGCUAUCACAAUUCUAGAAGAGAAAGGUAAAAAACAAUGAUUUGCUAUUGAAAAGGAAAGUGAAAGGUGACUGAAGACAGAUUCAUCUUUUUCUUGAUGU